UAAUUUCGGGUAUGGUAUUAA
rnacentral:siRNA from 1 species